GAAAGAGACACAUAACUUGACUGCUCUGGCAUAGAAGACAGCUGGAAUCCAGGCUGAAGAGACACAGAUUGGCCACUGGGCUGGGACACAGACUCGUAGUGAGCUUGCACUGACUGGUAGCUGGCUUGUGCUGACUGCAGGCCACUGGGUUGGGAGACAGACUGGUAGCUGGCUUGAGCUGACUGCAAUCCACUAGGCUGUGAGAUGGGCUGGUAUUGGAUCCGUCCUGGCUUUUGGCCACCAGGCUGGGG